UCUGUGUCAACUUUAAACGUCCAUAUCUCCCUCAUUUGGACUUCGAUUUGGGCAAGAUUCAUGUCUAAAUUGAAGCGUAGGAAUUCUAGUUUCUAAUGGUGGUGGUCUCACUAAAAAAUUCCAAGUUAUGAGGGAUUUAUGCCCAGAAAAGUACAAGCUGGUCAUUAAGCUAAAUCAAAUUCAGUUUCUUUUCCAUGGAAAACUCAAUUGUAGGUCUCUUAAACAUGUUCAAGACCCAAGGUCAAGUCUAAUAAGGUUAUAAACACUAUCAUAUUCAUACUACAAUAUUGAUACAUAAUUUAAAGGUCUCAAAGGUCAUUAAUUAUAAAACAUACCUCAAUUAGAUGCUUAGAACAAACCUCAUUUGAUUUUCCCUUUUCCCUCACUUUCUCUCUUA
rnacentral:lncRNA from 1 species